ACUUUAUACUCUCCCGUCCCGUAAUUUUUGUCUUAGAUUUAUCUAAAUAUAAAUAUAUCUAUUCAUGUUUUAGUAUUUAGAUACAUCCAUUACUAAACAAAAGUAAGACAAGAAUUUUGGGACGGAGGGUGUAUUUC
rnacentral:pre_miRNA from 1 species